AGGGCAGAAGCGUGGAAGGAUUUGCAGAAUUAUUUCGCCCAAAGACACCAUGUCAGAAGCCGCCAUAAGCUACCUAUUGCGAGAGCUGAACCCAAAGCCAUCUGAAAUAAUAAUGAAAUGUACAGAUUAGAAUGUUUGAGCAGCCAGCUGCAGUGAUGAAAAGAAAAUCGACUUCCCCCCUCCACCUCGACCCUGGUUCUCAGCACCUCUGUGAAUCCUGCUGGACUUGAUUUUGGAGCCAUGAAUGACUUCUUCUCCCCUUUUGCUUCCAACUCCUAUGUACUAAUCAGAGACUACAAGUCUCCUUCCCAGGCAGACAUCUAGCUAGCACAUUGGAACAAAGUCCGGUGAUCAACAAGAAUGAAGCAGCAUAUUCCGACACUUGUCAGAUCAUGCUGGGAGACUUUAAUCAAGCAGGAUUAGAAAAAUCUCAUCCUAACUACUAUCAAUGCAUCACCUGCAAAACUAGAAGAUUUACCACACUCAUCCACUGCUACACCACCAUCAGGAAUGCCUACCGCUUCAUCCCUCACCCACGCUUUGGCAAAUUUGACCACUUGGCUGUACCUCUUCUGCUUGUAUAUACAGACUGAAGAGUGUGGUCUGGUAAAGAAGACUUUGAAAGGCUAGAUGCCAGGAAUAGAGGAUUGAAUUUGGGAUUGUUUCAAGACAAUGGAUUGGACUGUGUUCAACAAUUGUUUUAAAUAAAUAUGCUGAAGUUGUUGCUGAAUUCAUAAGGACAGGUGUGGAUGAGUGUGUACCCAACCAACAUUCCAAGUCUUCCCAAUUUGAGAUUGGGUAGCAUAAGUGACAGGGCACCAAGAUGAAGUCAAUGCAUUUUAUGUGCUCUUGAUGGGGUGAACUAUGGCACACUCAUACAUCUCUAGAUGACCCUGUGAUCUCUGUCUCUGGAGAUGAUGUCCAGGCAUCCUUCAAGAGGGUGAAUCCACCAAGGGCAUAUCUAAACAAGUAUUAACAUCUGUGCAGACCGACUGGCUGGAGUAUCUACGUACAAAGUCAAUCUCUCGUUUCUACACUCCAAAGUUCCCACUUGCUUCAAAAAGGCAACUGCUGUACUGAUGGCCAGGAAGAGCAUGGUGACCUGCCUCAGUUACUGCCAUCUGGUAGCACUUACAUCAACCAUGAUGAAGUGCUUUAGGGGUUGGUUAUGAUGCAGAUCAACUUCUGUCUCAGAGGUGACCAAGAUCCUCUGCAAUUUGUCUACAACCACAAUAGGUCAAUAGCAGAUGCAAGUUCCGCUGGUUCUUCACUCUACUCCAGACUGUAUGGACAACAGAAACUCAUAUGUCAGGCUGCUGUUUAUCAACCACAGUUCAGUGUUCAACACUAUCAUCCCACCCAAACUUAUCAUCAUCGAUCUUCAAACUCAAGCUUCUGUGCUUCCUUCUGCAACUGGAUACUUUACUUUCUCAACAGCAGACUUCAGGUAAUGAGAAUUGGUAACAUCUCCUCCUUGCCGGUCGGCGACACAGGUACAUUUCAAGGUUGCAUGUUUAGGCCCGUACUCUCUUCUCUAUACAUAAAUGGCUGUGUGGCUUUGCAUUAUCUCCAAAGUCAUCUUCAAAGUCACUGAGAACACUUCUACUGUUGGAUGAAUCACAGGUGGUGUUGAGUUGCCUUCAUGAGUGAGAUAGCAUAGCUGGUCAAGUGAUGCCAGAACAACAAUCUCUUGCUCAUUGUCCACAAAGCUAAAGAGCUGACUGCUGACUGAAGGAAGGUGAAGGAGGACGAUCAUGUAUCAGUCUACAUUGAAGGAUCAGUGAUGAAGAAAGCCAGCAGCAUUAAACUCCUGGAUGUUAGCAUAUUAGACAACCUGUCCUGGGUCCAGCACAUAGAGGCAAUCAUAAGGAAAGUUCACCAGUGCCUUUACUUCCUAAGGAGAUUUAGCAAGUGAGGCUUGUCACCGAAUACUCUAACGGACAUCUAUAGAUGUACUGUUGACAGUAUCCUGGCUGGUUGCAUUAUACUCUGGUAUGGUAAUUUGAAUGUUCAGGAAUGCAAGAAGCUGCAAAGAGAAGUGGAUUCUGCCCAAUACAUCUCUGGCAUGUUCCUCCCCACCAUUGGUAGUGUCUACAUGAGGCACAGCCUCAAGAAAGCAAUAUCCAUCAUUGAACGUCCCUACCAUCUGGGCCAUCUUUUUCAACUAUCAUCAGGCAGAAGUACAGAAGGCUGAAGUUCCACACCACUAGUUUCAAGAACAGCUUCUAUCCUUCAGUCAUUCAGUUGUUGAACCAGCCAGAAAAACCCUAAUCACCAGUACAAUUUUAACAACAUCAGUCUUAUCACCUCACACUAAAAUGGACUUCUUUUUCACUUUAAUUGUGUGCUUUUUUGGUAAAAAUUGUGUCUAAUUUAUGUUUAAUGAAUGCUUUUCUUGUAAAUGCUGCUUAUAUGAUGUUCUGCACCUUUGAUGCUGCUCCAAGAAAGUUUUUCAUUGCACUUGCGCGUAUAUAUGUACAUGUACUUAUAACAAAAAACUCAAAAUACUCCUGGAGCCAGGACUGUACCAGUGUGCAGCAUUCCCUUACAGACAUCCAGUAAACCCAAAAAAUCCCAGAAAACUUGUUGAGACGGUGGAUGGAUAGCAGGACCGUCAAAGUGGACAAAGCACUUUUUGGUGAGGCUGAGUUAGCUAUGCUUCCCGCCCUUUUAAUCAUUAUCUAGUGACUGCUGCCUGAAGGCAUAAUUACACUGUUUAUGAAGAGGUGAUCUUGUUCUGCACUGCACUCCUGACAGAGCCUUGCCUGUGAAGGUAGGGAAGGGAAAAACCUGGUAAUGUAAUGUAAUUUUCAUUUCAAUAUUCUGGUUGAUGAGUGGAAGCUGACAUUGUUACAGGCUGCUUUGCACCUGGUAUUAGGGCAUUCCCAUCCAAAUGAGCAUCAUAUAUUGUGAAUAGAGUAUUCCUGACUUGACAUCGGAAAGUCUUAUUUUUGAGUUGAUCUAAGCUCUUGAUGCAAUCUCAGACUCCCCAGUGCCAAAGUAGUUUCUGUCUACUCUAUCACCCCUCUAAAUAUAUAAUUUCCAGAAAAAUACAGUAGUCUAAUAUAGUUACUUUCAGCAUAAGCACUUUCACAUGAUUUAUCUGUUUAUUCAUUUACAUAACUUACAGUCAUUUUCAUGACUUGCACUGUACUGCAGCCACAAAACAACAAAUUUCAGUGAUAAUAAACGUGAUUCUUAUUCUGAAUCCAGAACUUUCAUCCUCAGUCUGUAACAUCUGAUAUAGCAGUAGCUGGUUCUGAAAUUUACCUCUGUUAACUUCAAAGUAACUGAAUAUUGGAAAUGAGAUAUAAUAAUCAAGCUCUAUUAUGAAUGAAUGUUUCAUGUUUGCAAAAGAAAAUAAAUUUUAAGGUGAUCAUCUGUGUGACCCCUGAGCUCAGCCAAUUUCUUGGUCAGGUGAUAAUGUGUCUUCAAAUCCAUGAACUCUGAACAUAUUUUCUAUGUGGCCAUCUCCCAAUGUCUGCUGGAAGUCUGUAAUAAUGACACUGAUUGUUGUCCCAUUAUAUACAGUAUAUCAUGGAAGACUUACUCUUUAUAUAUCACUGCUAAGUUUCAUGCUCACAUUAUCCUUAAUAAUAAACUAAUAUUUUUCCCGAUGUUAACCUAACUCCUCCAAAUUUCCAUAGUUUCCAUCAUAUAUAUUAGCAUAACAUUCUCCAUUUUCAAAUUUAAAGUAACAUUUGAUUGGGGACUUCUUCAUCAAGCAUUUUUGCUCCAUCUGUGUAACAGCCAGGAUCCUGGGUGGCCACUCAUUUUAAUUCCACUACAGGUGGAAUUACACCUAUACAGACAUACAGACAUUCCUGUCUAUGGCCUCUCCUACUGCCAAGUUAAGACUAGAUGCCAAUUAGAGGGUCAACACCUCAUAUCUGUUUUGGGGGUCUUGAACCUGAUGGUAUCAAUGUCGAUUUCCUUAACUUCUUUGUUGCUCCCUUCCACCUUAGUUUUAUUUCAUUCAUUCCUCAUUCCUUUAUUUUCCCCUCCCUCUCCCUCCCAACCUGCCCAUCACCCACACCUUCCUUUCUCUGGUUCCCCACCUUCUCCUCUGUCCUCUCCAAUCAGAUUCCAUCAUGUUCAGCCCUUUGCCUCUCCUAUCACUUUGCACCUUCCCACAUCACUCCCACUUUCUGCCUCCACCGACCUAUCUACCUUCUCCCCUCAUCUGAAUUCACCUAUCACCUCCCAACUUGUGCAGUUCCCCCUCCUACCAUCCCUUAUCCAGGUUAAAGGGUUCCUGAAGUGUUAAAGGGUUGCAGUCCGGAUGAAGGGUUUCACUGUAAAGCACUGAUUGCUCAUUUCCCUCCAUUGAUGCUGCCUUGCCUGCUGAGUUCCCCUAGCAUUUAUUGUGUGUUGGUCAAUACUUAUGCCAUUGGGUUUUAGAUGUCCCUGGUCGAAUAUAAGGUGCUGUUCUUCCAGUUUGUUUAUGGGCUUCAUCCUGGCAGUAGAAGAGGCCAAGGAUAGACAGGUCAGUGUAGGAAUGGGAAGGGGAGUUGAAAUUGUCUGCAACUGGGAUCUCAGGAUAGCCAUUGUGGACAAUGUGUAGGUGUAUGUGAAAUGGUCACUGAGUCAGCACUUAGAAUUGCCGAUGUAGAGGAGUCUAUUUGAACUCUCUGGAUUUCUUGUUUAGUAACAAAACCUUUUACGCCAAGACCUGCAAUCUUUCAGUUAGCCAGGAAAUCAGAAUUAUCCUAUUGACACAUACUUUAAGAUGUUUCCUGAGUCUUUAGAAGUUUGUGUGACCUGUCACUUACAUCAAUAUAUUAACACAGUUAAUUGUGUUCUAUAUUUGCCUCGUUUAUCCUGUCAAGCAGAUUUGGAGGCUGUCAGCAGCACUGGAACAGCUGCAUACACACAGGAUUAGUGCAGUUAUAAUUCACAGGGUGAUCCAUAGAAACCAACAAUGUGAAUAAUUUUAGCACAUCCCAGGACAGGUCAACACGGCAGCUCCAAUAACAACCAUUACCUUUUGCCCCAGAGAAAUGCCGACUACCUCACUUAUAUCCAAGCACAGCCACCAGUUACUGGCUGCAUUUUAAUUGUGAUAAGGAAAAGAUUCAGCUCUGUUGCAUGAAAGGGUAACAAAUGCUACGUUGCAAUAAUAUACAAAUUAAUCAAGAUCAUCGCCCAAAACUUACUUAACCUGAUGUGCUCUUCAAUUAGAUGGUAUCUUCCUUAAAUAAUUUAACUGACAUUGCUAUGGGAACGGAAUCAAUAAAUUUUCCAUGUUACCUCAUAUAUUUUACUGAAAUGCCAGAAGAUAAAUUCUUAUAGAUAUAUACGAUAGUUGUGGUAUCAGUUCUUGAAAGGGAGAUUUUGUUUGAAGUUAUGCUUGGCAUGCAGUUUCAACUGUUAAAGGCUACUGUGGCAUCUUUGCAAAGACAGCAGUAACUGGAUACCCUGAUCACACAUGCUCAAGGCAAAUUCUGAUGGUUUGGCAGGACUCCAGAGUAAACACUGUAGAUUUCUACAAAGAACUCCAGAGAUGUGUGAUCUGUGCCAGACUGUCAUUAGUUCUGGAUAGAUGAGAGCUUUGGGUGGUCAAGGAUGAAUUGGGCAGGAUUUGAGGUUGGACAGGUAUUGUUCAGUUUUGUUAAUUGUCCUUCUGGUAUAAGGAGAAGAUUUUCAGAAACUUUGCUGGGGAGUCAUUUGGUUAUUAAAUCACUGGUGGCAAUUGUAAAGCAACACAGAAGUAAAUGAGGUAAGUAACACACACAAAAUGCUGGAUGAACUCACAGGACAGCCAGGAUCAAUGGAAAGGAAUGCAGUUGACAUUUUGGGCUGAGAUUCUUCAUCAGGCCUGAUGAAGGUUCUCAGCCUGGAAUGUCCACUCUUUAUUCCUUGCCUGAUAUGCUGAGUUCCUCCAGAAUUUUAUGUGAGUUACUCUGAAUUUCCAACCUCUGCAGAAUCCCUUGUACUAGUAAGUGAGGAGACACUCUGUACUUGCAAAUUUAUUAUGAAUUCAUGUAAAUUUCACAAACACAGGAAAUUCCUAAUUAGGUUUUUCUUCCUAAUCCAGUAUCUCUGAAGACUUCCAAGGUGUAUCUCUGAGCCAUCAUCUCUUCCCCACCACAUUUUAUAUCUUGGCAAAAUCACCUGGAGAUGGGAUUGAAAUCUAUAGGAAAGCUGUUAGCACUCAGCUAUUCUUACCCACCGUCACUCUAAACACAUCCAUUGGCUCUGCACUGUUACACAACUGUACAAUGCCAGUUAAACAAGAAAUUUCAAUUUUAUUAUCUUCAACCCCCACACGAGUACCCCCUCUCCACGGAUUUGAUCUCCCUUUCCAGCCAUUAAUUCAGUCUCCACUACUCAAUUUGCAUUUGUGGCAUUCUAUUUGAACUGCAGUUUAAUAUCUAAUCCCAAAUCUCACACUUCCCUCUUUGAGUGAAGAAGGGCUACAUGGUAGUUUUUAUUAUGUGUGAAAUCACAAUGUGAGUAUCAGAGCCUAGUUAUCAUGAUUAUUGAUGAUGUAGAAAGAAGGGUUUGUGUUUCAAUCUUUCAAGUAAUACCAUCCGAACUUCUGGAUACAGUUACAGAGCUGUAAUUCAGUCCCCUGAGUCUAUCAAUUUGAGCUCAGGGUCAUGAAGUGCAUGAGUAUGCCACAGAAUCCGAAGAAUCCAGUACUCAAGUAGUUAACUGAUUCUGUGCAAGGCUCUGGCUGUCUGCUGUGGAUUCAAUGUUAGUGGCAUUAGGGCUGUUGAAGGACAGUUUCUGUUCAAAAGGAAAACAUUAGGGACUUUCCAUAACUCUACAGUCAAAGUGCCUGUGUGCAUCUGUCUGUGUAGGUAAUUGUGUGGGAAGGCAAAUGUUUUGCUCAGUAUACAAAGUGACCUUGAAAGGCGCAUGAGAGAAGAAAAUUGGAGACAAUAAGUGCCUACGAGUUUCUGGUUAAUGUAGUACUCUGCUAUUUCCAUAUCCAUCAUUACUUAGUAUUUGAGAAGCAGCUUGGGGCAAAAUUUAUAAUAAAUACUUCU